UACGUAGGGAGCAAGCGUUGUCCGGAAUCAUUGGGCGUAAAGCGCGUGUAGGUGGUUGCAUAAGUCACUGUUGAAAGCUCCCGGCUAAACUGGGAGAGGUGCGGUGAGACUGUGCGGCUAGAGUAUGGGAGAGGGAUGCAGAAUUCCGGGUGUAGUGGUGAAAUGCGUAGAGAUCCGGAGGAAUACCAGAGGCGAAGGCGGCAUCCUGGCCUAUAACUGACACUGAGACGCGAAAGCAUGGGGAGCGAACGGG
rnacentral:rRNA from 1 species